rnacentral:lncRNA from 1 species
UUAUAUAUUUUUCAUUUCACAAUUUGUACGCGAACAUGCUAAGAAAAGAUAAAAAAGAGGAAAGUGAAUUAAAAAAUGUUUGUAAAUGAUUAAUGGAGGCUCACUAUUACUACAAAUUACGACAUCAUUAAAACAAUUAUCCAAAAUGUCCGCACAACGAUUGCCCGUAUGGAUAAUAUGAGCAUCCCACAGGUUUCUAAAUAAGUUUUCUGCAAUCUUGGACGAGCCCUUCAUCUGAGUGGUCUCUCAAACAACCAAUCACUUUAGUCUCGAUCUGAAAUAUAAAUAAUUCAAAUAUAAAUAAAUUUUAUAGUUUUAUAAAUUACUCAAACAUCUUCAAAUAAUAAUUUUUUAUUAAUAAUCGAAUUAUAUUUGCUCAAAAAUUUCAAAUUACCCGGACUCGAUUCAAAAUCGUGCUCGACUGAUAGCUACAUAAAUCUCAAUCAAACAUUAUUUCAUAUUUAAUAAAUUUUGUGAAUUAUUAUUUUUUUUUUAAAUUAUAAUUUAUUUUAUUAAUUUAUCUAACAUAAGACUUCUUACUUAACAAGAGCCUAAAAUAGAAUUGAAGUCAAACUAUCGCUAGAAAUUAUAAUUUUUAUAUAUGAAAGUAUCAAUUCUUAAUUUUUUGUCUUUUUUAUACUCCAUUUGGUAUGAAUUAAUUGCACUAAAGUCCAAAUGUUUAAAUUAUGCACAACUCAAAUGAGGACACGCACCUACCCUCAGAACACAACCGAACCUUCAAAUAUGAUAAAGUUAUCAUGAAAUUAAUUUUAAGAAAUUAUUAAAUUCACAGUAUUUUUUGUUAUUUUUAUAACAAAAGUAUUGUUAUAGAUGUAUAGCGACGGCUAACCGUCAUUAUAUGAUCUAUAGCGACACUUUUAUUAUGAAAAUACUAAAAUUUUUUGUUGUAAAUUUAAUAAUUUUCUAAUUUUAUUAUAAGUUGAUCAAUUGACUAUUAUAAUACCGAUAUACCUCACCACGUGCAUGUAAUCAAUUGACCACAAUUAAUUUUAUGUUAACCACUCCCUUCAAAUAACUAAUCAUUCCCAAAUAACUGAAUGGUAAUUGACUAUGAAACCGCCUAUAAAUGAUGGCUUAAGUACACAUUAAGCUUUUGAAUUUAUUUUAAUUUUAAGACAUUGAAUCUCGUUGUCUCUAUAUAUGUUUAUAAAUUAAAAUUUUUAACUAUCAAAUUAAGCAUUUUUUAUGGUGAUUAUUAUUUUCACAUGAUUUAUUUUUACAUUAAGAUGAGAUCCAUUAUAUGUUCAUGUGAAAAAAUACUAUGUAAAAAUAUAAAAAAUAUAUGUAAAAAUAUGAAUUCUCUUUUUUAUCGAAAUAAAUCACAUAACUCAAAAUAAAGAGUAAUUAAAAUUUUUAAGUGUUUAUCAUUUAAUAAUGGUUUCGAUUUUUCUUCUUCAUCGCAUACUAAUCGACUAUAAUUUCUUGUGUUUUUUAAGAUAUUUGAUAUUUUAUAUCAAUUUGAAAAAUUAAGUUUGUUUAAUUGUAUAUAUUAUUUAUAUUGGAUUUAAUUUUUUUUUUAUCAAGCACUAAUCAUGUGCGUAUAUUUUUUUGUGUUUUUAAUUAAAAAUAUUUUGGAGUAAAACUAUCAAAAAUAUUCUAAUGAAAAUCAAUUAUUACUUGUAUGUGACCAACAAAAUUUAAUUUAUAAAAAUAAAUAUCUUAAAAUUAAAAUAUUAGAUUUUGACUUUAAAAAAUGAAAAAAUUAAAGUGUAUUUAAACCUAAAAUGAUAAAGCCCUGGUUCUGAACCAAAGAAUCGUAAAGCAAACCUGUAGCUUCUAUCAUAUACAACCCCUGAAUAUCCUCUACAAACCCUGAAUACCUUUCUCCGGGAAUGCAGAGAAAUGAGAGGAGCUUCGUUUUCUAACCGCGGAAGGGCCAAAAAAGCCAACGGCAGUAGAAAUUGUCACCGGAAACACGUUGAAGACGGUUGAACUCCAUUAUUCCCCAUUCACUCAUCCAUUUCAUUUCAAUUCCCUUCUAAUUAAAUAAACCACUCUUUUAUUCUGAUUAUAAAAAUGG